GAUAGAGUAGCCAAGGGAUCUAAGGUGUUGGAUUUAGGCUCCAGUCACUUCGUGGGCGUGGAUUCGAAUCCCACCGCUGCCA
rfam:Danio rerio chromosome 4, GRCz11 reference primary assembly.